CCUACGGGAGGCAGCAGUGAGGAAUAUUGGUCAAUGGACGGAAGUCUGAACCAGCCAUGCCGCGUGCAGGAAGACGGCUCUAUGAGUUGUAAACUGCUUUUGUACAAGGGAAGAAGAAAGUGACGGUACCUUAGGAAUAAGCCUCGGCUAACUACGUGCCAGCAGCCGCGGUAAUACGUAGGAGGCAAGCGUUAUCCGGAAUGACUGGGCGUAAAGGGUGCGUAGGUGGUUUGAUAAGUUGGUAGCGUAACUCCGAGGCUCAACCUCGGCACUACUACCAAAACUGUCGGACUUGAGUGCAGGAGGGGCAACUGGAAUUCCUAGUGUAGCGGUGGAAUGCGUAGAUAUUAGGAGGAACACCAGUGGCGAAGGCGAGUUGCUGGACUGUAACUGACACUGAGGCACGAAAGCGUGGGGAGCAAACAGGAUUAGAUACCCUAGUAGUC
rnacentral:rRNA from 1 species